rnacentral:rRNA from 1 species
AUUGAACGCUGGCGGCAGGCCUAACACAUGCAAGUCGAACGAGUGGCGGACGGGUGAGUAAUGUCUGGGAAACUGCCUGAUGGAGGGGGAUAACUACUGGAAACGGUAGCUAAUACCGCAUACCAUCGGAUGUGCCCAGAUGGGCUUAGCUAGUAGGUGGGGUAACGGCUCACCUAGGCGACGAUCCCUAGCUGGUCUGAGAGGAUGACCAGGCAAACUGGAACUGAGACACGGGUCAGGCUCCUACGGGAGGCAGCAGUGGGGAAUAUUGCACAAUGGGGGCAAGCCUGAUGCAGCCAUGCCGCGGGUAUGAAGAAGGCCUUCGGGGUGUAAAGUACUUUCAGCGGGGAGGCGUUACCCGCAGAAGAAGCACCGGCUAACUCCGUGCCAGCCGCCGCGGUAAUUC